rnacentral:misc_RNA from 1 species
AACGCACCUUGCGCUCCUUGGUAUUCCGAGGAGCAUGCCUGUUUGAGUGUCAUGAAAUUCUCAACCUUUCUGAUUUCUAAUCGGUUAGGCUUGGAUUUGGAAGUUGCUGGCUCGCUUCGAAUCAGCUCUUCUUAAAUAUAUUAGCAAUGACCUUUGCUGCUCAUCAUUGGUAUGAUAAUUAUCUAUAUCAUUGAUAGUCAGUGUCCUUCACGGGAGAGGCCUCGCUUCUAAUGGUCUUUUUAAGACAAUUUGACAACUUUUGACCUCAAAUCAGGUAGGAUUACCCGCUGAACUUAA